rnacentral:lncRNA from 1 species
AGCGAUAGAACGAAGCAACUAGCAUAGCAAUGAUAGUAGUGAGAUCCAGGGUAGCGGUCAUCUUGCCUGAAAUCCCGCAAGUAAGAAGAACGAGUCCAAGAAGUAGACGAACGGACGUAGUCGAACAAAUCCUCACGAACGCAACGUUACCAGAACUAAGAAGCAACACCAGAAAUAAACAAUCAACAUGGUAAAUGCACAAGCAUAAACAUGGCAUGAUGCACAAACAAGUAUGAUGCAUGUCCGGUUUAAUGAGGCAUGGCAUAGCAAGUGCAACAAACAAUACUACAAGUUAAGUGGAGAUCAAUAUGCAAUGAGUUGCAUAUUGAAGAAACACCACAUGCAAGUAUUUAGUUUAAUCUCAGUUUUGCUACCAAACAAUAUUAAAUGUUGUUAAACAUGGCAAGAGGUGAAGCAUAAGAAAACUACCUAACUAGGCAAGUUUAAAUGAGGCCGGAAGUAACAAACAACAAUUCCGGAAAAUCCUCAUGUCCAUAUUUUAGUUUUGGUACUGUUCUGCGUAUUACAUAAUUUUAGAGUUGUUAAACAGGAAAAUAAAGUGGACCAUGUUAAACUAGGCAUUUUUACACCCCCUUUACAUAUAAAGUUUAUUAAAUUCGGAGCUCCGGUUAAUUAGUUAUGAAAUAAAUCAUUUUAACAUGGCAUUUAUGAAAAUUUAAAUAAACAGCAAGUUAAACAUUUUUAACAUAGAUGAAAGUGGCAUAUUAUUAAUCUACACAAUAUUCUAAGCAUUUUACAUAUAUAAAUCAUUUUAAUCCGAUGCACGGUUUGUGAGUUAUUAAAUGCAUGAAAUCUAGGGACUAUUCUGCAAAACAGGUAAAUCCUGGAAAAUGACAAAAUUCGCACGCAGGAAAAAAAAUACAUGCGGGCCGAAUCUGGAGCAGGGGCUGAACAGGGCAGGCGCGGGGCAGCUCACAUCGGGCCUUGGCCCAGGUCGGUUGAGGAGGCUGGCUGGGCCUUGGAGGCCGCUGGCCCAGGCGCUGGAGUGGUAGGCCGGGGUGGACUGGGCCACGCUGGCGGAGGGGAGCCGCUGGGUCGAAGCAGAGGUGGCCUAGGCGCUGGCGCUGGG